GUCGAGAAGGGGUCAACUUCAUCUCAGCUACCCCCUUCACUAUGCAAAGAUGCUCAGAGGAACGGCCCUGAGAACUGCUGAAUGGGAGGCAGCCAGCCUUUGGGAAGGUCAGAUUCUACACCAGCAUCACAGCAAUCAAAGGUCUGAAGCAGAAUACAUGGACAGUUUCUACCGUGGAGUCAAGGACUUAGGAAAAUUCCAGAGACAGACAUUGUUGCAAGUCAAGAGAGAACCCUGAACAAAGAUAAAAAUAAGAACA